rnacentral:tRNA from 1 species
CGGAGGUUCGAUCCUUCCGUCCCAG